UGGGGAAUUUUGGACAAUGGGCGCAAGCCUGAUCCAGCAAUGCCGCGUGCAGGAUGAAGGCCUUCGGGUUGUAAACUGCUUUUGUACGGAGCGAAAAGGUCUGCCCUAAUACGGUGGGCUCAUGAUGGUACUGGAAGAAUAAGCACCGGCUAACUACGUGCCAGCAGCCGCGGUAAUACGUAGGGUGCGAGCGUUAAUCGGAAUUACUGGGCGUAAAGCGUGCGCAGGCGGUCUUGUAAGACAGUCGUGAAAGCCCCGGGCUUAACCUGGGAACUGCGAUUGUGACUGCAAGGCUAGAGUGUGUCAGAGGGGGGUGGAAUUCCACGUGUAGCAGUGAAAUGCGUAGAUAUGCGGAGGAACACCGAUGGCGAAGGCAAUCCCCUGGGCCUGUACUGACGCUCAUGCACGAAAGCGUGGGGAGCAAACA
rnacentral:rRNA from 1 species